GACGAACGCUGGCGGCGUGCCUAAUACAUGCAAGUCGAGCGAGCUUGCCUAGAUGAUUUUAGUGCUUGCACUAAAUGAAACUAGAUACAAGCGAGCGGCGGACGGGUGAGUAACACGUGGGUAACCUGCCCAAGAGACUGGGAUAACACCUGGAAACAGAUGCUAAUACCGGAUAACAACACUAGACGCAUGUCUAGAGUUUGAAAGAUGGUUCUGCUAUCACUCUUGGAUGGACCUGCGGUGCAUUAGCUAGUUGGUAAGGUAACGGCUUACCAAGGCAAUGAUGCAUAGCCGAGUUGAGAGACUGAUCGGCCACAUUGGGACUGAGACACGGCCCAAACUCCUACGGGAGGCAGCAGUAGGGAAUCUUCCACAAUGGACGAAAGUCUGAUGGAGCAACGCCGCGUGAGUGAAGAAGGGUUUCGGCUCGUAAAGCUCUGUUGGUAGUGAAGAAAGAUAGAGGUAGUAACUGGCCUUUAUUUGACGGUAAUUACUUAGAAAGUCACGGCUAACUACGU
rnacentral:rRNA from 1 species